AAAAAACGACCUCUAUUGAAGCUUCACUUUAAGGUGUGUGAUGUGGCCCGAUCUGACAUGUGACUGAUUGAAUUGGGGUUUCCAGGUAUCCAGGUGUAGCCAUCAGUGGUGUCACCUCACAGCUGAUCUCCUGCCAAAGGUUUACGUAAGUGUUCCCUGCUGAGGCCAAAGGUGACACACCUCUAAUCCCAUUCAGAGCAGGCCUCUACCAAGAUACAGUGAAGUCAGAUCUACUUGAUGCCUCACAGAUCUUGUUUUAGACCAAGAAAACAGGCCAGUCAGAGGAGACAGGCGGUGUUAACAGUGGAGGACUCACCAACACAAGAGGGCACCAGGUGCACCCAGCUGGGCACCAAGCAAGACUAGGCAGUUAGUUUCACUCUACAAAUGAGCUUGAAAUGUUCGACGAGGUGGCAGCACAGCACCGUCUUGUGGAGCAGCAGCAAAGUCAUGUGUGUGGCACUUAUUUCCAAAAUGAGGCAUUGUUUUUCUGAAAAUGCAUCAAAACAACAGAUGCAUAAUGAGGACAGCCCAGAACCCCAGAUUCUGUUGAUGUGUGGACCCUGGAGAACCAUAAAGGAUUAAGAUCACUCCACAUACCCCGACACCCACAAAGCUCCAUAUACGUACAUGUUUGUAUUAUACAUCGUUCUUGACUGAUUUGCAGUAAGUGGAUAAUGUAUUUGUGGUAGCUGACUCCUGAGAAGGGUUAUGUUCAUGUUUCCCAAACAGAUUUGUCUCAUGACUUGUUGACCAUAUCAUGAAACCCUCCUGUUUUCAGAGCUUUAGUAUUUUAAGUUAGAUCAUCUUCACCUGCUGCAUAUUCCUAAUAAAGUUGUAUUUAAUCAAACUGCCACAGCUCGCACAGAUCCAACAUGUUAGGAGCGAUUGGCCUGAACUUAAAGGGAUCCUUGAGGUGAGAGUACAUAACUAUUUUGCAGAUGGCUGAUGUUGGAUUGAGGACUUUCCUUCUUGUCUGAGCUCUUUUGUUGUAGUUAACUGUUUGGCCUCUAGGUGUCUCUGUUACGCACUUGAGAAAAACAUGUUUUAAUGCUGUUAUAUUAUAAAGAACAUUUAAUUUUAUUCUGACCUUUAGCAGUUUGUGCACAAUUUUGUCUGGGAGACAAACCCACUAUAGUCUUUUAUUUUUUAUUCCAUUUUGUUGUCAAAAAUAAAGAAGAAAUAAACAUGUCCACGUUCA